rnacentral:rRNA from 1 species
AUUGAACGCUGGCGGCAGGCUUAACACAUGCAAGUCGAACGAGUGGCGGACGGGUGAGUAAUGUCUGGGAAACUGGCCGAUGGAGGGGGAUAACUACUGGAAACGGUAGCUAAUACCGCAUACCAUCGGAUGUGCCCAGAUGGGAUUAGCUAGUUGGUGGGGUAACGGCUCACCUAGCCGACGAUCCCUAGCUGGUCUGAGAGGAUGACCAGCCACACUGGAACUGAGACACGGUCCAGACUCCUACGGGAGGCAGCAGUGGGGAAUAUUGCGCAAGGGGGGCAAGCCUGAUGCAGCCAUGCCGCGUGUAUGAAGAAGGCCUUCGGGUUGUAAAGUACUUUCGGCGGGGAGGCGUUACCCGCAGAAGAAGCACCGGCUAACUCCGUGCCAGCAGCCGCGGUAAUUC